GCUGACUAGUCAUACAGCACGGUUCCGCGUUACGUAUGACGGGCUAUGGGUUGUCAACCUCUUUCAUCAGGGAGGAAUAAAUGACGUGUACCUGAAGAAUAAGCAUCGGCUAACUCCGUGCCAGCAGCCGCGGUAAGACGGGGGAUGCAAGUGUUAUCCGGAAUCACUGGGCGUAAAGCGUCUGUAGGUGGUUUAAUAAGUCAACUGUUAAAUCUUGAGGCUCAACCUCGAAAUCGCAGUCGAAACUAUUAGACUAGAGUAUAGUAGGGGUAAAGGGAAUUUCCAGUGGAGCGGUGAAAUGCGUAGAUAUUGGAAAGAACACCGAUGGCGAAGGCACUUCACUGGGCUAUUACUAACACUGAGAGACGACAGCUAGGGUAGCAAAUGGGAUUAGAUACCCCAGCUAGUCCUAGCCGUAAACAAUGGAUACUAGAUGUCGAACAGAUCGACCUGUGCAGUAUCCAAGCUAACGCGUUAAGUAUCCCGCCUGGGAAGUAUGCUCGCAAGAGUGAAACUCAAA
rnacentral:rRNA from 1 species